GGGACUAAACCACCAACCAAAGAGUAUACAUGGAGGGAACCAUAUAUACAUAUGUAGAUACAUAUGUAGCAGAGACUGACCUUAUCUCAAAUCAAUGAGAGGGGAGGCCCUUGGUCCUUUGGAGGCUUGAUUCCCCCUGCAUAGGAGAACGCUAGAGUGGUGAAGGAGUGGGCACUGCGGGAGCCAUGGCUUACCGUGCAGACAUGGCCAAGUCCAAGAACCACACCACACAGAACCAGUCCCACAAAUGGUACAGAAAUGGCAUCAAGAAACCCUAGUCACAAAGAUACGAAUCUCUUAAGGGGGUUGACUCCAAGUUCCUGAGGAACAUGCGCUUUGCCAAGAAGCACAACAAGGCCUGAAGAAGAUGCAGGCCAACAAUGCAAAGGCAGUGAGUGCACCCGUAGAGGCCAUCAAGGCCCUUGUGAAGUCUCAGGCCAUCAAGCCCAAGAUGCCAAAGGACCCCAGCCACAAACUCGGCCAUCUGGCUUUUACCCUCACCCCAAGCUUGGGAAGAAGAUUCAAAGCUACAUGGCCAAGGGUCGUAGGCUCUGUCAACCAAAGCCCAAGGCAACAAGGUAGAGGCCACAGCUCCAGCUAAGGCCCCGGCUUCAGUUCCAGCUCAGGCUCCCAAGGUGCCCAGGCCCCUGUGAGGUCCCCAUAGUAAAGGCUCCUGCCAGUGUGAAGACAGAUGGACUGCUGUGACACACCUACCUACACACUAUGUGCAAAUGGCCAGUGUCCUGUGCUGUUUUUACAAAUAAACUUGAGACAAGAUCAAUAAAUAAAUAAAUAAA